rnacentral:lncRNA from 1 species
GGUUGCCUCCCAGGCUAUAAUAGCGUCCCACGCUAAGCGCUCUACUCACAUAUGAUGAGAACCGCUAAUAAGACUAUAAUAGCGACUCACAUAUGAUGAGGACCGCUAAUAAGGUUAGCUAGCAAUAAUCUAUAUAUCAACCCUUUUAUGGUGAAGUACAAUAUUAAACUAAAAUGAUCCACACUUCCCCAAAUAAAUUAUAAUAAACUCAUAGCGCACAGUACAGUUCCCAACUGUACAUAGAAAUAAUAUAAAACACUUGACACGUCCCACGUGUCAACUAAAAUUAGCAAGAGUUCCGGAAAAAAAUAAGUGGAACUCGAUAAUCCAACAAAAUAUUAUAUCUCCAAAUGCCUUUGAAAUUAAAUAACUUUAGCGCAUGCAUGAUAUUAAAAUCAAAGGUCCACUCAUAGUGCUCGGCUAUGCUUGCCGACGGCCCGAGGUUUCCUCCAAAUGAUCCUCCUCACGUCCAGAACAAUAAAUAAUCAUUAAGCCUCCAAAUCAGGACAAAACUUUAAUAAAAUUUCCGAAAUAAAAAGGAAGCCUAUAAUUUCUUUUCUCUUGCCCAACUUCUCAAAUUUUCAUAGAAUAUUCCUCUCAUCAUGCUCAACAACAUUCAUAACUAGCACUUAGUCCAUUUCUAAAGCUAACUAGGGCAAACGAAUCAAACUUCCAUAAAUCCUUAAAAACUUCAAUUAUACAUUUCUCCGUAACAACAACGAAAUAGACUAAUUCUUUUUUAGGGAAUACUCACCUUGAUGAGGGCUACAAGAUGAGCCAAAGAUUCCGACCUAUGGUGGCCGGAGGUGGGAUUUCCGGCAAAAAGCUUCCCGGCGUCUCCGGCGAGUUUUCUCCUCUUCCGGCGGGCUAACGGCUCGGGGGCUAGGCCGGGGAGAGAGAGGAGGUGAUGGGGGUCAAAACUGGGGUGGGCUGGCAGCUGGUGGCUGGCCGGACGGUGACAGGCCACGCUGGGAAAAUCCAGCAGAAAAGAGGGCUCGGGGAGACUCACGGGAGAAAGAGAGAGAAGGAAGAGGAGAAGAGAGAAAAUGAGGGGGAGGGGGGGGUCUUGGGCUGCUCCACAGCUGGCCCAGCAAUAAAACCCAACUGAAAAUUACACCCACUAAAUUUUUUACCCCAUUUUUACCAUCUCAAAAA